GACCGCCUGGGGAGUACGGCCGCAAGGUUAAAACUCAAAUGAAUUGACGGGGGCCCGCACAAGCGGUGGAGCAUGUGGUUUAAUUCGACGCAACGCGAAGAACCUUACCUGGCCUUGACAUGCUGAGAAUCCUGCAGAGAUGCGGGAGUGCCUUCGGGAACUCAGACACAGGUGCUGCAUGGCCGUCGUCAGCUCGUGUCGUGAGAUGUUGGGUUAAGUCCCGUAACGAGCGCAACCCCUAUCCCUAGUUGCUAGCAGUUCGGCUGAGAACUCUAGGGAGACUGCCGGUGACAAACCGGAGGAAGGUGGGGAUGACGUCAGGUCAUCAUGGCCCUUACGGCCAGGGCUACACACGUGCUACAAUGGUGCGUACAGAGGGCUGCAAACCCGCGAGGGGGAGCUAAUCUCACAAAACGCAUCGUAGUCCGGAUCGGAGUCUGCAACUCGACUCCGUGAAGUCGGAAUCGCUAGUAAUCGCGAAUCAGAAUGUCGCGGUGAAUACGUUCCCGGGCCUUGUACACACCGCCCGUCACACCAUGGGAGUGGAUUGCACCAGAAGUGGUUAGUCUAACCUUCGGGAGGACGAUCACCACGGUGUGGUUCAUGACUGGGGUGAAGUCGUAACAAGGUAGCCGUAGGGGAACCUGCGGCUGGAUCACCUCCUUAAA
rnacentral:rRNA from 2 species